AAAGUCGUAACAAGGUUUCCGUAGGUGAACCUGCGGAAGGAUCAUUAUUGAAUCUAAGCGAGCCUGGCAUUCAUUUUGCGAGGUCUUGCGCGUAUUUAAAACCCCACACUUUUUGAAAACAACAUAUAUCUUACUUAAAAAUAAGUAAUUAAAAGAUCACUUUCAACAACGGAUCUCUUGGCUCUC
rnacentral:misc_RNA from 1 species